rnacentral:misc_RNA from 1 species
AUGGCUGCUCCACCUGCGAGGGCUCGAGCCGAUUACGAUUACCUCAUAAAGCUUCUAUUGAUCGGCGACAGUGGGGUGGGCAAGAGUUGCCUUCUUUUACGUUUCUCAGAUGGUUCCUUCACUACUAGUUUUAUCACCACCAUUGGUAUUGAUUUCAAGAUAAGAACUAUUGAGCUUGAUGGCAAAAGAAUUAAGCUUCAAAUUUGGGAUACCGCUGGUCAGGAACGGUUCCGAACAAUUACAACAGCUUACUAUCGUGGAGCAAUGGGUAUUUUGCUAGUUUAUGAUGUUACUGAUGAAUCAUCUUUCAACAACAUCAGGAAUUGGAUUCGCAAUAUUGAACAGCAUGCUUCUGAUAAUGUUAACAAGAUAUUGGUGGGGAACAAGGCUGACAUGGAUGAAAGUAAAAGGGCUGUCCCAACAUCCAAGGGCCAAGCACUUGCUGAUGAGUACGGGAUCAAGUUCUUUGAAACUAGUGCAAAGACAAAUCUAAAUGUUGAGGAAGUUUUCUUUUCCAUAGCAAGGGAUAUAAAGCAAAGACUUGCUGAUACGGACUCAAAGGCUGAGCCUACAACAAUUAAGAUCAAUCAACCAGACCAGGCUGGUGGGGCUGGUCAAGCUGGCCAAAAAUCAGCUUGCUGCGGAUCUUAGAACAAAUUAUUUUUUAGUAGGGCAUUAAUUGCAGGUAACACUUUUGUCUGAAUAAGGAGGGAAUGUAUUUAACAAAAAAAAAAGAGAGAAAAACUAAUUCUGA